UACGGGGGGGGCAAGCGUUGUUCGGAAUUACUGGGCGUAAAGCGUGCGCAGGCGGCUUUGCAAGACAGAUGUGAAAUCCCCGGGCUCAACCUGGGAACUGCAUUUGUGACUGCAAGGCUAGAGUACGGUAGAGGGGGAUGGAAUUCCGCGUGUAGCAGUGAAAUGCGCAGAUAUCAGGAGGAACACCAACGGCGAAGGCAGCUCGCUGGGACGGUACUGACGCUGAGACGCGAAAGCGUGGGGAGCGAACAGG
rnacentral:rRNA from 1 species